rnacentral:lncRNA from 14 species
GCUGGGGUUUCGUUCGACGCCCACCAGGGGCUGAGCGAGCUUCCUUCAGUGCGCAAACUCGGGGCACCAGAUAAAAGCUGGGCUGGCAGCUCUUACUGUGUCUCGAUGGAGCCGCCACAAUCGGGUGACUGGAGAAGCAAUUAGCAGCGCCAUAGACUAGCGUCCCCCACACACCUUGGGCAGAGAGUUUGGGGCUCUAAACAGCUGCUGCUGCGGCAGGAGGGAGCCGAGGGCGCUUUGGCUGGGGCUGCUCGCUCGGGUUCUGCCUGUUGUUGCGCGAAAUGGCGGCUGGCGUCUUGGGUGUAGCUGGUCUUCGGUGAAGCUUUCCAUUCCGCCCCCUCUGCGUAAGGCUUUACCCACUGCAAGGGAGAGUUACCCCUCGGCACCUCCUCGCUCCGCCCGAGUGUGCGCGGCUGGGCCGAUCGGGUGCUCUAGCGCCGUCGCUCACUUUGUGAACCAGAGCACUUUAUGUAUUCUACUUCAGAUAUGCUGGGUGUUUUACUCUGCAGUGUCAGAGAGAUCUGGAGGAGGCCAUUUCUCUGCCAUGCUUUAA